GACCUCGUAGCUCAGUUGGCUAGAGCGUCGGCUGUACGAAAGCCUUUCCCUUGCUGGCGUGGGUUCGAAUCCCACCGAGGCCG
rfam:Schistocephalus solidus strain NST_G2 genome assembly, scaffold: SSLN_scaffold0000352